rnacentral:rRNA from 1 species
GAUGAACGCUGGCGGCGUGCCUAAUACAUGCAAGUCGAGCGAACGGACGAGAAGCUUGCUUUUCUGAUGUUAGCGGCGGACGGGUGAGUAACACGUGGAUAACCUACCUAUAAGACUGGGAUAACUUCGGGAAACCGGAGCUAAUACCGGAUAAUAUUUUGAACCGCAUGGUUCAAAAGUGAAAGACGGUCUUGCUGUCACUUAUAGAUGGAUCCGCGCUGCAUUAGCUAGUUGGUAAGGUAACGGCUUACCAAGGCAACGAUGCAUAGCCGACCUGAGAGGGUGAUCGGCCACACUGGAACUGAGACACGGUCCAGACUCCUACGGGAGGAAGCAGUAGGGAAUUUCCGGCAAUGGGGGAAAGCCUGACGGAGCAACGCCGCUUGAGUGAUGAAGUUCUUCGGAUCGUAAACCUCUGCUAUUAGGGAAGAACAUAUGUGUAAGUAAAUGUGCACAUCUUGACGGUACCUAAUCAGAAAGCCACGGCUAACUACGUG